rnacentral:tRNA from 1 species
GCUCAUCUAGCUCAGUUGGUAGAGCGCAAGGCUCUUAACCUUGUUAUUAUCCUGGGUUUGAGCCCCAGGGUGUGCA